UACGGAGGAUCCAAGCAUUGUCCGGAUUUAUUGGGUUUAAAGGGUGCGUAGGCGGCUUAUUAAGUCAGGGGUGAAAGACGGUGGCUCAACCAUCGCAGUGCCCUUGAUACUGAUGAGCUUGAAUACACUUGAGGUAGGCGGAAUGUGACAAGUAGCGGUGAAAUGCAUAGAUAUGUCACAGAACACCAAUUGCGAAGGCAGCUUACUAAGGUGCAAUUGACGCUGAGGCACGAAAGCGUGGGGAUCAAACAGG
rnacentral:rRNA from 1 species